rnacentral:rRNA from 1 species
CCUACGGGGGGCAGCAGUGGGGAAUAUUGGACAAUUGGGGCAACCCUGAUCCAGCCAUGCCGCGUGUGUGAAGAAGGCCCUCGGGUUGUAAAGCACUUUCAGUGAGGAAGAACGCCUGGUGGUUAAUACCCAUCAGGAAAGACAUCACUCACAGAAGAAUCACCGGCUAACUCCGUGCCAGCAGCCGCGGUAAUACGGAGGGUGCGAGCGUUAAUCGGAAUUACUGGGCGUAAAGCGCGCGUAGGUGGCUUGAUAAGCCGGUUGUGAAAGCCCCGGGCUCAACCUGGGAACGGCAUCCGGAACUGUCAAGCUAGAGUGCAGGAGAGGAAGGUAGAAUUCCCGGUGUGGCGGUGAAAUGCGUAGAGAUCGGGAGGAAUACCAGUGGCGAAGGCGGCCUUCUGGACUGACACUGACACUGAGGUGCGAAAGCGUGGGUAGCAAACAGGAUUAGAUACCCCUGUAGUC